GCUGAUGAAGCUAGAGUUGCAACUAGCGCUGAUGAAGCUGAAGUUGCAACGCCGACGAAGCUAGAGGCCGCUGGCCGCUACGACACUAGGAGGCGGUCUGGAGCUAGAUGUUAGAAAUGCACUGGUUGCUGAUUUUCGGAUGAAAGAGGAGAUGAAGAUCGAAGAAGGAGAGGAGGCAGAGAAAAAAGAAAGAAGAUAGCUAGGAUUUUUCUUCUAAAAUAAUAAUAUAUACAUAGAAUUAACGAUUGAGAUUUAUAAGAGUUGAUGGUUAGAUUUAAA
rnacentral:lncRNA from 1 species